ACAAAUCUUAUAUUAUAUACUAUCAUCAUAUUUUCUCUUUAUACUAUUUAUAUUUGUAUAACACGACAAUACGAAGUUCAGUCGCUUGGCUCUUCGAUUUUCUUAACGAUCAGAGUUUUUUUUUUUUUUUCUCAAAAAUUAGGAGCAAGGAAACAAAGACUUGAUUAUAUUUAGUAAACCGUCAAAAUAGAAAACUCUAGUGGCUUAGUUGUUUUGCUUCGUGGUCUCAAUUCAUAUAUCCAAUGUCGAUCUUAUAAUUUUCCUAGGCGAAGAGGAAAUAUAUGGUCGACUUCAGAUAUUUUUUUUUUGGUGUGAAGUCGACUUCAGAUAUGAUGAACUUGUCAUUUUCCUUUCAGAUAGAUUAAUGUUAUUGAUAUCCGUACGAGAUAUAUAUCACACAUUCCCAUAAUUAAGUCGAGCGACAGAUCACCGUAUACACAACAAACGUUUAUUUGGACUAUAUUUAAAACUUCUGGAGAGCAUGAUUAAUUGUUUAGAUUUUACGAUCACAUAGUUUAAAUAGAAAUACAAUAGUAGCUAUAGUAGUUACAUGUUUUACAAAAUUAGCUUACAAACUGAAAUCUAGACUAGUCAAAAUAUAUGUAAAGUCAGAAUUAUAGUAUUGAAGUUUACACAGUUCUGAUUUCUGAACUAACAGAAGGAUGCCAUUGUACGACUAUCAAAUCAAUUAGUUAAAAAUUCAUCGUGUUGCGCCACGAACUUUAGAUAUAUAUAAAUGUGCAAUAUGCAAAUCGUAAGUAUCUUCCCAUACAUAUAUACUAGUACAGUAUAAUGUAGGAAUUUGUGAGAAGUAGGUAUGGGGAAUGACAAAUUGUGAAAGCAAAAGACAUGCAUGGCUUCAAUUUGAGUCUCUUAGGCUUAGGCACCUACGAAUCUAUAGGAGCAGAGAUUUGCCUCGAGAAAGAGUGAAGACAUAUGACACUCUCCAAUCUCUUCAUUGAUUUCCAUGUUUUAUUGAAAUUUAAGCCACUUGAUUCCUUCUUCAUAUAUUUUUUUUCAUGUUCUCUUCAUAAGAAUGAUAAUCACGAUGGCAAUUUAAUUUUACUUUAAAAUUUCUUGGUCUAAAACUGAAAAUAAAUUUGAAAAAUUCUAGCAACAAAA
rnacentral:lncRNA from 1 species